AGAGUUUGAUCAUGGCUCAGGACGAACGCUGGCGGCGUGCCUCAGACAUGCAAGUCGAACGAUUAAAGCUCUCUUCGGAGAGUGUAUAGAGUGGCGCACGGGUGAGUAACACGUAAGUAAUCUACCUUUGAGUGGGGAAUAACAGUCGGAAACGACUGCUAAUACCGCAUAAUGCAGCGGCAUCGCAAGAUGACAGUUGUUAAAGAUUUAUCGCUUAAAGAGGAGCUUGCGGCAGAUUAGCUAGUUGGUAAGGUAAUGGCUUACCAAGGCUACGAUCUGUAACCGGUCUAAGAGGACGGUCGGUCACACUGACACUGAAUAACGGGUCAGACUCCUACGGGAGGCAGCAGUCGGGAAUUUUGGGCAAUGGGCGAAAGCCUGACCCAGCAACGCCGCGUGAAGGAUGAAGUAUUUCGGUAUGUAAACUUCGAAAGAAUGGGAAGAAUAAAUGACGGUACCAUUUAUAAGGUCCGGCUAACUACGUGCCAGCCGCCGCGGUAAUAC
rnacentral:rRNA from 1 species